CUUCGAUUUCUAAAAUGGAAAAUGGCGAAGAUUCGGUUUUGUAUAAUAGCAGAAGAGAUCAACAGCAUCUUGAUGAAAAUCUUGAAAAGGAAAAAACCGCCACGUGUACCACAGAAAACAAAAGCGCAACCAAAGAUGAACAAGAAGAAUGAUUAUGAACAACCAAGCAAGAAAAAAACAAUGUGGGAGUACAAAAGAACUUGGUUUAGGUUCAUGAACACAUGGUCAUGCACACGCACCGUCAGGUUCGUGUUGAUUAUACAAAAGAUAAGGUGUAGAUAUGUUUAGAGGGGUUCGGAUACAAUGAUGUGGAAUAUUUGUUUCUAUAAUCAAGUUUCCAGGAUAUAUAGGCAGGGAGAACUUAGAAUUCGGGUUUAAAAUU